rnacentral:lncRNA from 13 species
CUCCAGCCUGGGUAACAAGAACAAAACUCCGUUUCAAAAAAAAAAAAAAAAAAAAUAGCAGUGGGCACAGAAACAGAUCCAGUCCUUUUACGGUAGGUGGCAGAGGUGUCUUUGGAGAGAGGCAGUUUGGGCUCAAAUCCUGAGCAGGGUUUUCUUAGGUCUGUGACUUUCAGCAACUCAUUCAACCUCUCUGAUUUUCUCUGUUGAGUUUCCUAAUAUUAAAAUGGGGUGACGGCUAUUGUGGUCGCCAUUGUUAUUAGUGGCUGUCCUGCCUCAUCUUUCUUUUAAAUGACGUGAUCCCUCUUGAGCAGAAGGGAGGCUGUUGCAGUUUUCCUGUUGAAAGGGAACACUUCCCAAGCUGAAAAGGUCAACUUCGGUUUCAGGUGUUAUUGUUUGUACGGUUUCAUAUUGCUUUUAGCAAUGUGAGGGAAGUGGAAUGAACUUGGACUUUGAAGGCAAACUAACCUGGAAUCGAAUCCUGGUUCUGCUGUUUGCAAGCAUGAUCUUUGAGUGUGCUUCCUCAUCUGUGAGCUUCAACUUCCUCCUCUGUAAACCAAGAUCAAAGACAAACAGAGCAACCUACUUACCCAGUGCCCUUCCCCUUGGCAGAACACUCCUCUGAAGGAUGACAGUUUGACUGUGCCAAGGCAGAGCUGCCCACACCAAAUGAGCCUCCAUGGCAACCCUCUGAAGAGGAACUCACUGGCCUACCUUUCCUUGACAGCCGUGGCCUGCCUGCCUUGAAGCAUGACUCCACAAUGCCCCUACCCAAGGCCAUGGAGAAUGCUGCUGCUAAGGAAGCUGUUUUCUAUUUAGUCCAGGUUUCUGCUUGGAGAGGAAGAAGGUAGAGUAGCCAGCGAAAGUUUGUCUGAAUGCUACUUGCAGAAAUAACACUGGCAGCAGUCACAAAACUUUAAAAAUUUAAGUGUCAGCGAGGUGGCUUUUGGUGGCCAGAUGAAAGCUGUUAAACCCAGCUUUUACAAGUGUUGGGCUUUUGAGUAACAGGGGAGUGUCUUUCUGGAAAAGUCUGAAACCUCUUGCCAUUGUAGCAGCAAAGGCAUCCAUGCCUAGAUGAUUUCCAAGCCCACUGCUACUUGUUGCAGUCUAGCAGUGUUGUGUUUUCUGAAA